GGGAACCUGCCUUUAGGUUCGGAAUAACUCAGAGAAAUUUGAGCUAAUACCGGAUAAUGUCUUCGGACCAAAGAUUUAUCGCCUUUAGAUGGGCCCGCGUUAGAUUAGAUAGUUGGUGGGGUAAUGGCCUACCAAGUCGACGAUCUAUAGCUGGUCUGAGAGGAUGAUCAGCCACACUGGGACUGAGACACGGCCCAGACUCCUACGGGAGGCAGCAGUGGGGAAUAUUGGACAAUGGGCGAAAGCCUGAUCCAGCAAUGCCGCGUGAGUGAUGAAGGCCUUAGGGUUGUAAAGCUCUUUUACCAGGGAUGAUAAUGACAGUACCUGGAGAAUAAGCUCCGGCUAACUCCGUGCCAGCAGCCGCGGUAAUACGGAGGGAGCUAGCGUUGUUCGGAAUUACUGGGCGUAAA
rnacentral:rRNA from 1 species